UGCUGCUGUGCCCUGGCUGUGGGUGCUGCUGUGCAGGAUGUGAGCACUGAUGUGCUGUGGGUGCUGGUGCCCUGGCUGUGAGCACUGGCUGGCCUGGAUCUGAAGGGAUCAGAUCAGAAGGGUCACUGUCAGUCAGCUCAGUGACUGUUUCUGUCCAGUUAAAGAAAGCCCAGUGUUCCAUGGAUGCUGAAGUAGGUUUUCCUCCCCGAGUGUUCUGUUCCCUCAGUUCCUGGAUAGCUGGACAGAUCUGGUGACAGCCCCUCCCUAACGGGCAUUGGUCACUUCCCUGUGUAACCCUGUGCUCUGCAUCCUGCACAUCACAAAUUAGACAUACGCUUUCACUCAAAUAUUAACGAGUUCUCUUACCUCUCUUUUGCACAUCUAUUUCCUGCAGUCUGACAAGUGUAGCCAAGUUGCAUAAAUUCGACUGCAAAAAAAAAAAAAAAAAAGAAAAAGGGAAAAUGAGGAAGUUUUAUCUCAAACGCUCCUUUUACCACCAAACCACUGGGUGUCAGUGUCGAUCUCGCUCGGAUAUUGCUGUAACUUACUUCCAUAGCAAACCAGCCGUUUUUAAAGACCCUUACGGUGUUGGGAACUAUCCACGUUCUUCUCCAGGUGUGUUCAGAAUAAAUAUUUUGCUUCCACUGGCUGUUUCAGGAUAUUUUCAACUCGGUGAUUGCAGCGUUGUUCCUCCUCGUUGUGUGCUUGUUUGCAGUAAUUGUCAAGAGCAACAAGGGGACAUUGGCUGGAGGAGUGUUGGGUCUUAUAUUGCUUGUUCUCUGCGUUGUCGACACGGUUCUUCUUUGCAAGAAGAUUAGCCUUGCUAGACCAAGAGGAAGGAAUGCUCCUACCAGAUAAGACUGCCGUGUUAGUAAAAGGAUUUCUCCAUUGAUGAUUGUUUCACCACUCUCUUUUAAAGAAUUUGUGUUUUCACAUGUUCACCUUAGAAUUUCCUGUGCAUUGAUGUAUGUUUUUGCAAGUAUUGUUUAUACGGUUUUCAGACAUUUCCAAAUGUAGUUUCAGUGGUGCAGUUAAAGCUUCAUAGAAAAUGGUCUUGUUUUUCUGAACUUAAUUACAUUUUUACUCAUAUGAAAAUGAACUUCAUGGUUGUCUUCUUUCUGUAAUAAAAAGAAAAUAUAAACGGG